GAUGAAGAACGUAGCGAAAUGCGAUAAUUAAUGUGAAUUGCAGAAUUCCGUGAAUCAUCGAGUCUUUGAACGCACAUUGCGCCUCAUGGCAUUCCGUGAGGCAUGCCCAUCUCAGCGUUAGAAAAUAUUCUCAAAUUUUAGUUUUGUGCUAAAAUUUGGAUCAUGUCAAGGAAGUGAUUACUAUUAUUGUGAUCGCUCUUUGGAAAUUGAUAGGUCUUUGAGUUGCUACUCAUAGAACGUGAUGAAUCUUUCUUCGUUCUAUUGUAAUUCACUCUGGUAGCCUAAAACUUGUAUGCCUGUGGCAUAUCUUGUAAUUUGACCUGAGAUUGGGUAGGGAUACCCGCUGAACUUAAGCAUAUCAAUAAGCGGAGGA
rnacentral:misc_RNA from 1 species